UGUCCCCGGUCGUCCACGCUUCAUCCCGGUGGAGCACCGGUUCAUUCCGGUAGGGUCCCGGUUCAUCCCGGUAGAUGCCUGAUCACGCACUUGGGCUCCGCCGGCAUGAUAUUGAGACUGGGCCUUAACCGCAUUGUAAUACGAGGUAAAUUUACCGGCCGUCAUGUACGCAGUAAACAAUAACCUGCGACAGAAACCCACCUCCACACCUUCAAAACAAUAUAUUGAUUAUGCAAUUGCGGAUUUGUGCCAUUGGGGUCCUACUUUCCACGCCUUACGGCUGUUACAGAACAUGAGCCAACAGAGAGCUUUGGACCCCUAAAGCAAGCUGCUGCUUCCUAAGAAAGUGCGCAGUUUUCUGGAAGCAGUAAUCAUGUUCAGACCCCAACAACAACCUCAUCUGUAGCUGCUACAGGUCUUUGUUGUCCCCCUUAUCCACGAAAUACACGUGGAAGACGAGCCAUUGCAAUUUCUUCAAACAAUAGGAGUUUCCGGAAUCACAGAUUUUGUGUUUUGCCAAACACAACAGAGUUAGACUGCGGCUCCGACCAAAGAACAAAAAGAUCAACUUUAUAAAGCUUGUUUAGGAGAGAAAAGGAUACCAUUUGAGAAGAAUUACGACUCGGCUUAUUUCUAAAUUAAGCUAGAGGAACAGCACCCGAAACUUAAAGGAAUUGGGGGAUUGAAAUUAUUGAGGACGCAGGCCCGGAGUAAAUGUGAUCUAGAUGUUAUGAAAAUGCCACAAGGCGGUUAUAAUGUCAACUUUCUUGCUAAUCAUAACAAUAACGGCCAAGCUGUUUGUUACAUUCGUCCAAUACAGAGGAAUGUCUCAUUGGAUGAUGUUGAAGAAUUCACAGUAAGUAUAAAGUAUAAACACUCAAUUUGAACCUCUGACAGGGUUCUCUAGAAAACGGCGCUUCAAAAAAUUGUGAGUUUUACAAUAAUUGGUAAAAAUGUGGACAAGUACAAACUGAAUUGGGUAAAAACCUAUAAGUAAUUAUCAUAAUGUGUAAUUUUAACAGGGCCGAUUUCAUUUGCAAGCGUUCAUUGAUUGUCCUCUUUGUUAGAACCUGAAAUUUAUAUUUAAAACUAUCUUGGAAAAAGUCUUGAGUUUUACCAGCCGAUAAUUGUGGGAUCCUGCCAUUAUGAAAAGGCAAAUAUCCUUCUCAGGAAGCAAGACAGAUAAGUGAGGUGUUUAACACAGAAAUUGCAAUUUUAGACUAUUAUUUGAUGCCUAUUGAUUCCUUAGGAAUUUUUGCAACUCAUGAGAGCAAUAGACUUUGCAUUUCUUUCCAUAAAGGACCCUCAGUUAUCUGUCAUAUUUCUUCAUUAUGUUUUUGUAAGAAAUACCGGUGUCAUCUUAUAAGAUGAGACCGGUAUUCAAGAGGAUUGGAAUAAGAUGCUGUACAAUGAUUCCUAUGAGACUUCUGAGAGAGCAUGCACAAAUCUGGGGGAUAAGAUGUAUGUCUGUAAAUGUAUACAACAAUCAAUACACGAGAAAGUUUUGUACAAGGAUCUAUCUUUAAAUUGCUCAUUCUAGUUGUUAAGCAGUUUUUUUUAUUUUUGAGAGAGGAAAUGUGCAAAAUGUUUUAUCUUCUAUACAUUUAUUUUGAACUUAUACCUUGGAAGUUGGUACAUGUUAAUUUUUAUUUCUUAAUUGUCACAGAUUAUUGGAAUUAUAUGUCUUAAUUAAAACUAAGUGAUAUGCCUUUUGAUAGCUUAUAAUAGAGAGUGUAGUUGACAUAGAAAUUUGUUCGAAAAUAAUUAACUUAACAGUUACCAUUACUGUUUUAAUGACAGUGCUAUUUGUCUCCUAAGGUAGUCCAACUGUAAUCAUUUCCCGCGUUUUUUGUAAGGUCGGUUGACAUCGGCUAAUGUCGGUAAAUAACGCAACUGAAGUCGUGCGAUGUCCGUUGUGUUAGGUUUAUUAUUUACAAAGUAUAAAUCUUAAAUAAAAACAUGUUUUAUAUAAUUCCAUAAUAGAUUGUAUCGGUGAUAUACAUAGUUCAAUAUAUAACGACGUCAAAAUAGAUUUUCAUAAAAAUAUUGUGUAAAGUUGAACCGGAAGUAAUAUAUUUUCGCGACAACAUAAACAAACAACAAUCGUGAAUCGUAACCAAAAAGACGGUAACGAGUAGAAAAGAAGUAGAAAAAAAGAAAACAAGUCUUUCUGAUCAUUCAUAAUAUGAAAUAAGGCAAAGCCUCAAAGCGAGCUCGAUUAAUGUUUAAUAGAAGAAACUAACAAAAACUUUAAUAAAGAUGAUAUUUUAAUUAAAUUAUUUGGCACUUCCUAACAGAAGAACGUACGUGGAGUUCUUAAACACUGGU